rnacentral:rRNA from 1 species
UACGUAGGGGGCAAGCGUUAUCCGGAAUCAUUGGGCGUAAAGCGCGUGUAGGCGGUUCCGUAAGUCCGCUCUGAAAGCCCAGGGCUCAACCCUGGGAGGCGGGUGGAUACUACGGAACUGGAGCACGGAAGAGGAGAUUGGAAUUCCUGGUGUAGCGGUGAAAUGCGCAGAUAUCAGGAGGAACACCAACAGCGAAGGCAGAUCUCUGGGACGUUACUGACGCUGAGACGCGAAAGCGUGGGGAGCAAACAGG